GCAUAUCAAUAAGCGGAGGAAAAGAAACUAACAAGGAUUCCCCUAGUAACGGCGAGUGAAGAGGGAAGAGCUCAAAUUUUAAAUCUGCCUUGUUUUCAAGGUCGAGUUGUAAUUUGAAGAAGCGUUUUCUUGGGCUCGCGGCCGGUAGAAGUUCUUUGGAACAGGACAUCAUAGAGGGUGACAAUCCCGUCUGCGACCGGUCGUGCGUUCAUCUACGAUACGCUUUCAAAGAGUCGAGUUGUUUGGGAUUGCAGCUCCAAAUGGGUGGUAAACAUCACCUAAGGCUAAAUAUUGGCGAGAGACCGAUAGCGAACAAGUACCGUGAGGGAGAGAUGAAAAGAACUUUGAAAAGAGAGUUAAACAGUACGUGAAAUUGUUGAAAGGGAAACGAUUGAAGUCAGUCGUGCUGGCGCGAAAUCAACCCUCUCGUCGAGAGGUCACAUGGCGUGGCGAGCCUCAAAACCGUCACGAAGCGUGAACUCUUGGCGAAAAGGAGCACUUUCGUGUCCGCUGGUUAACAUCAAUUUCGAACGUCAUAAAAAGGCUGGAGGGAUGUGGCUCCUUCGGGAGUGUUAUAACCUUUAGCGGAAUGUGGUGGUCGGGAUUGAGGAUUGCAACGAAUACCUUUAGGGCUGUUCCACCUGGCUUCUCUUUGGUAUCCUGGUGACGACAGCUUGCUGACGUCGUUAGGAUUCGCCUUUGAACAGGCUAGAGUGUGAGCAAAUUCGUUAAGGAUGUUGACGUAAUGGCUUUAAACGAC
rnacentral:rRNA from 1 species